GCUUGCUCGAGUUUCAAAUGUGGCCUGAUUCAAAUAUUCCCUUUUUCUUCUUCAAAAACGCAUAAAGUGCUGAUAAAUGGUUUGAAGAGAGAGGCACUAAAAGAAUGAAACUCCAGAGAAGAGACCAAACGGGGCAAGUGUGGUAUCAGGCGUCGACAGGGAAUGCAAACAAGUGGCCAUCUCACGCUUCACCAUCUGCGCUCUGAAGACAGCUUUGCAGCGGCCACACGCAUUCUUCAAACGCUCUUUGGAGGCCGGUUUGGAAAGAUAUCUUGGAUAGCCUGCCUCAGGAUGUUCCUCACUGCUGUUUUUCGGAUGAUAAUACCUUCGGUACGGUGGCCGCCAGCAUCCUGCUGCCCUCUGGACCACACGGCUCUCUCUACAGCUGGAGGUGGUACCCGCAAACAUGCCUCUCUCUGA
rnacentral:lncRNA from 1 species